rnacentral:rRNA from 1 species
UACGGGGGGAGCAAGCGUUGUUCGGAUUUACUGGGCGUAAAGGGCGCGUAGGCGGUCGUGACAAGUCACUUGUGAAAUCUCCGGGCUUAACUCGGAACGGUCAAGUGAUACUGUCGGACUAGAGUACAGAAGGGGCAACUGGAAUUCUCGGUGUAGCGGUGAAAUGCGUAGAUAUCGGGAAGAACACCGGUGGCGAAAGCGCUCUGCUGGACCUGCACUGACACUGAGGGACGAAAGCUAGGGGAGCGAAAGGG